AGGACGAACGCUGGCGGCACGCCUAACACAUGCAAGUCGAACGGAGUUAGCAAGAAGUUUACUUGAGCUAACUUAGUGGCGGACGGGUGAGUAACACGUGAGUAACCUGCCUUUCAGUGGGGAAUAACGGCUGGAAACGGUCGCUAAUACCGCAUAAUGUCUUGGAGUCGCAUGACUCUGAGACCAAAGAUUUAUCGCUGAAAGAUGGACUCGCGCCCGAUUAGCUAGUUGGUGAGGUAAUGGCUCACCAAGGCGACGAUCGGUAGCCGGACUGAGAGGUUGAACGGCCACAUUGGGACUGAGACACGGCCCAGACUCCUACGGGAGGCAGCAGUGGGGGAUAUUGCACAAUGGGGGAAACCCUGAUGCAGCGAAUGCCGCGUGUAGGAAGACGGUCCUCUGGAUUGUAAACUACUGUCUUCAGGGACGAUAAUGACGGUACCUGAGGAGGAAGCUCCGGCUAACUACGUGCCAGCAGCUGC
rnacentral:rRNA from 1 species